GGUAGUUGAAGUCAGAUGGAGAACACAUUGCAUUUGUGCUGUCUGCAGAGGCCCUCAGAAGCACUCUGUGUAACUCUUACUGCAGCAUCGGGGAGGAAACAAAGCAGCAGUGUGCCUAACGCCAUUCAAGCUUUUUGCAGUGUCAGACUUGUCUUGGGGAAUUCUACAGCAUGUUUUCACCAGUCCCAAAACCACACAGCUUGUGGGAAAGGCAGACGAGCACGAUUUCUCACCGUGCAAGAGCUAUGGUUAAAGAAGCUGAGCUCUCAGGAAGGUGCUGGCUUUGACAAAAGCCAUGGAAGAGCACAGGCAGAGCUGGAAGAGAGGAAUGCUGUGGUGUGCUGAGAAUGGGAAAACCACAUCCUCAGUGAAGCAAAUCAAUGCACUGAUUUUGAUCUCAGCUACAUCAGAAGCAUAGAAGAUCUGAAGCAUAGAUGCCUCUUGCAAACAGACCCAUCCUUGCUGAAAACCUUUGUGACUGGGAGAAAGGAUGAGCUGGUGAUAAAAAUCAUGGCUGUGACCUUUCCUGCUCCACCUGGAAGAACCAGGUGUGUGGCUGUGACUCUGCAAACUUUCUUCUGCUCUCCUCAUCAGUGCUGUCACCUCUGUUGGCUCAGCUGGCCCAACAAGCUCCAUCACAAGUUUAACCCAUUUGUUUGAAAGAAAGAUGGGUUAGGUCUUGCUGUAUUAAGGUGAGUACAUGAGCUUGCCUUCUAUUUCCUCUGUGGUGUUCAGUGAUUGAGCAUUAACAAUUUUAGGAUAAUUUAAAUGUUGGAGGACAGUUCUGUCUCAUUAAUUUUCUCCCUGUUUAGAAUUCAGAACAGCCAAACCGUUAGAAAAACCCUUCAAUCAAGCUAUCAUUUUCUCCCUCUCCAUCCUUAAACUUAACAGUUCCCAGCCUUUCCUUGGCUAAGCUUCCUGUGCUCCAACCUGGGAAGAAAAGCAGAGGCUCAUCAGAAAGGGGCAGACCUUGGGACUAAAUGUCAGUAUGUCUUCACCAUUCAAGUUACAGGCUUAUGGAAUAUUAACUUGCCAAGAUCCUCCAGCAAAAAGUAUGCAGCCAAAGUUUAGUAUUUAUAGCCUAUUUUUCCUAUGUAGCCUACACUAGGGAAUGUGAUUUAGCAGGAGACAGGACUAGAUGAUCUCCAGAGGUCCCUUCCAACCCCAACAAUUCUGUGAUUCUGUAAAAUAUAUACUGGGGAAAAAUUAAUUAAAAUUACAACAAAGAAAUCAGACAUGUUUGCCAUGUUCCUUUCUUUGCUGGUACAAAAAGCAGUCACUGUGGGAUGACAGACAUCCUCGUCUGAGCCUUCUGCUUUUCUCUUGACAUGACCAUAAAGUUAUUCCGUUCUGCUUUCAUGCCUCCUGAUGCUCAUUUCUUUAAAAAUAGCUUUUCUCCUCAUAAGAUGAAGUCAAACACUUUUGAUAUGUAGCCUCUUACUCUGAUACUUGAGGGAAAAUGCAUCCAUUUGUUUUCAUUGACUGCUAUAUUGGCAGUGAUCACACGGUGGAUGUACAAGCUAUUCCCUGCUUCCCUCUGAGCUGUAACCAUUUUUGCAUACAAUAGCUAGUGAAAUGAGCACCUUGUGGGAGAAUUGGGGACCAUGAAAUUUAUCCACGUAACCGCCCUGCGUCUCAUGUGUCAUAUACAGUUUAGUGUAUUUAGUUUGGUCAAAUUUGUUUUACAGUCUCAGUUUCCUGUGUUGUGCAUUGCUCUGUAUUUAUUAGACAAACAAGGAAGUAGCACAUCUCAUCUGUAGGCAGGAGUGAUGCCAGGCUGAUGGAAGGGAGCAGCUUCAGGAGCUGCAAACCUGUACAUCUUCAUUUUACAUGGGUUUUUUGAGUGUGUGUGUGUGUAUGUUUGAGUUUUUCUUUUAUUCCUAUAAGCUCGUGGAUUGUCAAUGGCCUUUCUGAGCAGCACCGUGCACCAAAACAGAGGGACAAAGGUGCCCAAGUUUCUAUACACACGCACAGCAGACAAGCAGGCUUGAAAUUAAUCAAAUUUUAUGUCUAUUGUGCUGCAAGAGAAGAAAAUAUGAGUGUUAAGUCAGAGCACUGAGAGCUGCCGUACUCCAGAGAUGGCAGGGCUACAGAUAUGGAUAAACUGAGGUUUGUGUUGCUACAGCUUGUUCUAUACCUGUUCUGCAUAUGAAUGGAGAGCCUCAGUCCCUCUACUUAUUUUGGCACCCUUCCUGCAUUUAAAUAUUACUUUGUCAAGGCCUUAUGGUCUUUAAAAUGUAGUAAUUGCUGUUCUCCAAACAAAUGACUACUGAACAUAAGGAGCAUGGCCUCUCUCAGCCAGUCCUUGUGUUGGCAUGGAUGGGCAGUGACAAGUAUCUACCAGGUGCCUGAUUUGUAGGUCGUCUCUUUUGAAAAACGGUAGGUGGAAGCAUUACUGCUAUUGUUACUUACAUUGAAUAGCUCAGAUCGGUGGGUUUUCGUUGAAAGGGAAGUAAACUAUAGCGUUGCUCCUUGAACUGUAUGUAGCUUGCUGUAAAUGCUUCUGAUGUGCCAAAUCUAGCACUUCUGAGAUAUAUGCUGCUCCAUAAAUAAAUGUUCUGCAGCAGCUCAGGUUAGUUACAUAUGUAUGCUCGCAAGAUUUACAGCAUUUCUCAGAGAAAGUUAGGAGACGCAGCAUAUUUGUAGUAAAAGCUGGAAUACUUCCCUUCCUCAUAAAUAUUUAAGUUGUUUUCUUAAUGGAUGCAGAACCAGUAGAUGUCAGCUUACUUUUAUCUAUAUUCCAUUAACUCAGGCUUAAUAGAAAAGAUUCUCAUUGAGUUUGUUGGGAAAAAAAACAUUUUUUCUAUGCAAAAUAAUUAGAAGCACAUCCUUGGUUUAUCAAGAAAUGUGUUUAAAUUACUUUAGAGGGCUGGAAUGAAACCCAGCAGUAUUUCACCAUGAAGAUACUGAAGCAGAAAGGUAAGUUCAAUAGUGGUCACCGCGCUUUGUAGCUGUAGCAGAAAUGCUGAGUCACAGCCUGAAGCAGUGACUGACCAUGUGGUGGGAAGGCAGGGCCAACCUGGUGGAGCUCAGCUGCAUGCAAUGCAUCUCAGUGACUGUAAGGGGGUGGAGCCAGGAUCCACCCCUUCCCAAACCUCAUUUAAGGGUUGGCAGUGGACAGGAGGGUAUCUUACUGGAGAUCCCUGCUUACCUGAGGCCUUCUGAGGGUAAGCAGCUUCUUUCCUUUGUUUCAUGUGUCCGUGACUGUUGCAUUUGGGCAAACCCUAACUUGCUGCACCCUAGGGCCUCACUGCUCUGCUGCCAUUGCUGCACUUUCCAUUGUGUUACACUAGCAAAAGGCAGAUCUGUGAUUAAGGAUUCCCAUCUGGACGCUCCAUCCUACAUCCUUGCAACAAACCCAGAAGUGCUUCUUUCAACAUGUUGCAAAUGGGAAAAACAACUUAUAACUGUGGAAAAAUGGGAGAUGCCCCCUAAAAUUUUAAUGUACUUGAGGCCCAGACUUUCAGUUGUGAACUCCAAAUACGGAGAUGAGCUUGGGUGAAAGAAAUGCAGGUAAGCAUGAACAAAAGCAUGGACUCUUCAAGUUACUCACACGUUAUCAAUGGGAAAACAAACAAAACACGGAACAGUUCUUAAAAGUGGCUGGAUUACCUGUUAAUUCGGAGCCUAGUUAGUCUGGCAGUGUUCACAAUGAACAUUUUCCUGUUCCAGUUCAUAAUAUGUCUCAGCUGCCCCUAUGGUAAUGUCAAUAGAGCAUAUUGUUGUUUAGUGACAUAAGGACUGAUUUCUAUUUUUUUUUUUUAAUCUAGCCAAAUUUUGUUAAAGAUGUAGUUAUUAGGAUACAAGAUUCUUUGUAUAGAUGUAGCUUAUUUCUCUACGAGUCAAAAUGAAUUAUGUGAGCGCAAGCCAGCUGAAAGCUGAAUCAAAGGAGAGUUUCAAUGACACUGCAAUCUUUUAGCUUGGACUUCUGAAAGUGUUCAGAAUGAGAAGUAAUUUUUCUGUCAAUCCAGUUAAAAUGUGGCUUAUCGUUACUGAAAGUAGCUGGGACACUUUGAACCUCACCAGUUGUGUCUGGUUGAUGUUAUUGGGUCAAGGACUUGCACAUCAGGUAAGGAUUCAUCUCCUCAUGCCUCAGACAUCUAAAAGUGUGUUUCUUAUCUAGGCUGGCUAUCAGGCUCUCUUCUACACUUGAUGGGGAGAGAGAGACGGUGAGAGACAGGCACCUCCAUAGGACAAUUCUUCCCUGUUUUCUUAGGCAUCUUAAAAUGGACAGAUGGAUGAAGUGACUCCUUGUCCUGCUAAUGCUGCUAUAGGCAGCCCCUUGGGACUGGCCCCAGAUAAAAGUUAUGUGUGCUUAAAUUAAGAAAAUAAAAUCCCUUAACUAUAGCAUUAAGUAAUCUCUGGACUGUCUGUCUCGGGCAAGAAUGAUGGCCCGGGCUCUUAAGGUAGGAGGACACCUGUGCUGGCCUUGUGCAGCUGUUGUCUUGGUACUGGGGGUUGAUGCUUAUAGCAGCAUCAGCCUACCAGUAGGGUCAGUGGUAUGUUCUCAUGCCUGGGUAUUUAACUUUAUUUGGGAUGCUCAGUGGAAGACAGUGUUCCCUAAUGUGAGAGCUGUGGAUCUAGCUUGUGUACUUUGCUUUCUUUCUUUGUCUUGUUUUUUUUAAUCCUCAUCUUCUCACCUUACACACCUGACUGAUGCUGAACAUAGCCCAUCCCGUGGGGAGUGUAACAUUCAUUUUUAGUAGGGAAAUGUUCUUGCAAUCAUAAAAAAUUGAUAGCUGUCUGAAGCAGCAGUUAAUCUUGUAUGAGAACUGCAUCAUUAACCUACAGCAGAAUGUACACAUUAUGGACACGCUCAUAAAUGGGAGAGAGUGUGGACGUCAGUUUCUAAUUUCCUUCUUGCAGUGACUCAUAAAAAUCACAGGGAAAACGUUGCCUUUGACAUAUUGCCGUGCCAGCUUCUGUAGCUCCUGUCAGAGGAAGGGCGGUUCUCUGUGGCCAUGUCAGUGGAGCAGGACAGAGAAGUGACCUUCCUGCACUUCCUUAGGCAGGUGGCUGUUAGCCUGGGAGAGAAAAAAUAUUUUGUUACAGACUCCUUCCUCUCUACCUCCAGCAUCCUGAAGCCCUGGUAUCUGUUCUCAACUGCUCGUUCCCCCAUGCUACUCUGCUCUGAUUGUGGCUUAUGGGCGAAGUUCAUUCAUCUGUUCUGUGCUCAAGUUCACUGUGGCCGUAGCAGACUGGAGACAUUCCUUAUCUUACACAACACUUCCUGUUUUCUGCAGUGGUCCCCUGGCAAAAAAAAAAUGCAGAAGAUAAAUCAUUUUCAAAGUAUUUGUAAUGUCUGGGGCAAGGAAGAAUUUCCAACCAACAGCCACACAACCCCAUAUGUCGUCAUAACUCCAAAACAAAAGCUAUGUGGGAAAUCGCUGUUAAAUUAGUAAUACAAAAUUGAAUUUGCUUUAAAAUUA